rnacentral:lncRNA from 1 species
GAGAGAAUAGGACCUUCGUUAAGAAUUGUACAAGAUUCCAGUUGCAUAGUUCCUAUUGUUACUGAACAUAUUUAUUUUCUAAUAUCAUAUUACGUAUUGUCUUGCUCAGGAAUGCACUGGGCACUUAGCUGUGGAAGGUGAGAUUGUGUUUCAUAAGUAGCUAAGAAACUCUAAUAGGUUUCAUCUAUACAAGAAGAAUAUAAUCUGAAUUUCGAUUCAAAGGUAUUGAAAACACUCUUUUUAAUAGCCUUCAUUAUACAUAAAUUCCAAUUAUCUUAUUCCUUUCAUAUUUAAGCAAUUUAGAUUUUUCUUGUAAGCCCUAAUCCUAAUCAGUGAAUUUUAAUAAGCAGUAACAUCUAAUCCAACUGUCCACUUGAUGUGGAAUUUUUCAUGUAGUUGUCAAUGUAAGUCUUCUAUACGCUUAAGAAUUUUUAGCCUAAUCCAACUUACAAAAUGUGAGAAAACCUCCAAAAAUUGCACUGAUACCACUCGAACACCAACUUGAAAAGUGAAGCAGAAAUCCUAGCAGUGAUUUCUUCUUUUUUAACCAUAAGCAUUAUCUCAAAAUUGGUGUGUAGCUUGAUCUUUAAGUCUUUCAAUACCAUGCAAAAUUUCAUCUUAAUCCGGCCAAUAGAUCUCCAGAUAUCAUAGAAAUCCUACCCAAUCUCAAACUGCCAACUUCUGAAAUCCUCUUGUACUAAAAACUAGAUAUCUCUAAACCACGCCAUUAGAUUAUCAUAAAGUUUUGUAUACACUUAGCACACCCAAUAAUCCAAAUAAAAUUAAGUUUUCAACUGUAGAUGUUAUACCAAUUGGACGAACUAGCCAAAAUUGCUAGCCCUAAUUAUAUUAUAU